CUGACAUACUUUCCCCCAGCUCCAACUAUUGACUGUUCUAAUCUGUAGAGCAGAACAUCUCCUGUAACUAUCAAAGGGGUGAUGAGGGGCAUGCCCCUCUGCUAGUUUCCCUGGUAACCACCGAGUCAAUCUGAGGUUGGUUCCCCAUAUAACUUGUAUCCGCCCCCUCCCACUGGGAGCAAACAUGGCUGCUGUGCCCCACCCGUCAUGACACACCCGCAGGCCACCGCACGCUGUGGGCUGUCCCUUUAGGACCUUGCUUCCGACAGGGAGAGAAUGGUAGAAGAGGAUAAGGUGAGAAAGAGACUUUUAAACUCUUAAAGCAUGCAGCUCUGGUAUAUAGAUCACAUGAAACUAGGACUUUGGUGAAAGACGCAGAUGAAUCCAAACCAGCACAGAAGGAUAGAAGGAUAUAACGCCACUCUUUCCACCAACCAGUGACACAGCAGCUUGCUCAGGAUGGAACUCAGGGUGGAGAGCUUCUCGGCCAUGGAUACACUUCCUUACCUGAAACCAGACUCAUUGACAUAUAUUUUAGCUCAUUCAGAAUGCUCCCAGGAGAUCACAAUUACUAAAGGUUAUCCAAAACCAAUGUCUUACGGGCCCCAUGUAGAAGAG
ensembl:lncRNA